UCGCUACUUUCGACGAACGAACGCUUCCGAAUUCUCAACGAGUACAAUGAAUACAUUCCAUAUAAAUUAAUUACUCACCUGAAGACAUAAAUCAAAAUUUUCACAUUCUGCACAAUGUACACGAAUACCGGAGAUAUCGUCCUGGCAAUUUGUACAAUUAUAUUUUGUGAAAAGAUCCCCAAUACUUGUCAUUCUUGGCAAAUCACAAAAUAAUUUAUUUGGUACUCGAAACUGCUUUAAUGUUUAUUCACAGCUUAUGUCUCCAAAGAAUUUCCUAGCAAACUUCUAAAAAAAAUGUGUUCUCACCUUUAAUACAGAAAUAUUAAUGUUCUAUUUAAAGAGAAGUUGUUCUUUCAAAAGUCUAUACAAAGUAUGCGGUACAGUUAUAGUCGUAUAUAUAUGGUAUACUUAUAUAUAUAUAUAAUCGAAAUAGGUGCAUGCCAGUGAACUUCUACAAAAUUCAACAACAAACAACUUUCCUCGCUUUGCUUGACAAUUUAUACUUUAACCAGAGAACUUAGAAGAACAAAAAGGUGAAAAUUGAAUUUUCGAUGAUGCUCGAUUGGACGGCUAAUAGAGCUGAAAAAUUCCGAGCAGGAAAUUUACCAUUUUCUGUGGUAUUCGCUCCUAUUUAACAGAAAUGAGAAUUUAUAUCUACGUUCUCUGGCAGAAAUACGUAUCUACCAACAUAAAGAUAAAAAUGAAAUACUUUGAAUAAAAAAUACAAUUUGCUAAGUUCUCUGCAAAGGGAUGUCAGAA